rnacentral:rRNA from 1 species
UACGUAGGGGGCAAGCGUUGUCCGGAUUUAUUGGGCGUAAAGAGCGUGUAGGCGGCUGGGUAGGUCCGCUGUGAAAACUCGAGGCUUAACCUCGAGACGUCGGUGGAAACCAUCCAGCUAGAGUCCGGAAGAGGAGAGUGGAAUUCCUGGUGUAGCGGUGAAAUGCGCAGAUAUCAGGAAGAACACCCAUGGCGAAAGCGGCUCUCUGGGACGGUACUGACGCUGAGACGCGAAAGCGUGGGGAGCGAACAGG